GUCUACGGCCAUGCCACCCUGAACGAGCCUAAUGUCUGAUCUCGGAAGCUAAGCAGGGUUGAGCCUGGUUAGUACUUGGAUGGAAGAUCAGGUGCUGUAGGCA
rnacentral:rRNA from 1 species